GGCUUUUAAAGGCGAGGCAGGCAGAAGUGGGAUAGUCCAAGUGGCAGCAGUGUAGCGGUCCCAAACUACUACUUUUUCUGAGCAUGGCAUGAAAUUAUWUGGUUAGUUUUGUUUGGAGCUAGAGCACUUUCCUCCCCACUGAGAGGAUUGAGCUGCAUGGAGCGGGGGGCUCUACGCUGGGAUGGGGAGCGCUGCUGAGRCUGCAGUACAUUGAGUCUCACGCUGAGGAGCUGUUUAAGAAAACUCUUGGGAAAAGCAAACCAUUUCUUGAAGAGGGGAACAGGGAGUCCAAGAGCUAUCCGGUCUUGAAUAUGUCAGUGUGCCCUGAAUGUGCAGUCACAUUCUGAGAGACAUUCCAUAAGCGGAUAUCUUUUUAUACUACUUGAGGCACAGUGUCUGACAGAGAUUACUGUAUAACCUGAAGUAUCGGUG
rnacentral:lncRNA from 1 species